rnacentral:rRNA from 1 species
GACGAACGCUGGCGGCGUGCUUAACACAUGCAAGUCGAGCGGGGAUGUACUGCGGAAGGCUUCGGCUGGAAGGGGUGCAUUCUAGCGGCGGACGGGUGAGUAACGCGUGAGCAAUCUGUCCCAGACAGGGGGAUAACACUUGGAAACAGGUGCUAAUACCGCAUAAGACCACGGAGGGGCAUCCCUUUGAGGUAAAAGGAGCAAUCCGGUUUGGGGUGAGCUCGCGUCCCAUUAGCUAGUUGGCGAGGGAACGGCCCACCAAGGCGACGAUGGGUAGCCGACAGGGGAGGGUGAUCGGCCACAUUGGAACUGAGACACGGUCCAGACACCUACGGGAGGCAGCAGUGGGGAAUAUUGGGCAAUGGGCGCAAGCCUGACCCAGCAACGCCGCGUGAAGGAUGAAGGUUUUCGGAUUGUAAACUUCUGUCCUAAGUGACGAAGAAAGUGACGGUAGCUUAGGAGGAAGCCCCGGCUAACUACGUGCCAGCAGCCGCCGUAAAAC